UCUCCGUAGGUGAACCUGCGGAAGGAUCAUUCAUAAUAAGUGUUUUAUGGCACUUUUUUAAAUCCAUAUCCACCUUGUGUGCAAUGUCAGGGUUGGUCUCUUUGAUCAGCCCCAAACAUCAACUAUUAUCUCAACUCUUUGUCUGAAAAAUAUUAUGAAUAAAACAAUUCAAAAUACAACUUUCAACAACGGAUCUCUUGGCUCUC
rnacentral:misc_RNA from 1 species